UACGUAGGGUGCGAGCGUUAAUCGGAAUUACUGGGCGUAAAGCGUGCGCAGGCGGUUAUGCAAGACAGAUGUGAAAUCCCCGGGCUCAACCUGGGAACUGCAUUUGUGACUGCAUGGCUGGAGUGCGGCAGAGGGGGAUGGAAUUCCGCGUGUAGCAGUGAAAUGCGUAGAUAUCUGGAGGAACACCGGUGGCGAAGGCGGCAUCCUGGACCGGCAUUGACGCUGAGGCGCGAAAGCUAGGGGAGCAAACGGG
rnacentral:rRNA from 1 species